GGGGGAAUAUUGGACAAUGGGCGCAAGCCUGAUCCAGCCAUGCCGCGUGAGUGAUGACGGCCUUAGGGUUGUAAAGCUCUUUCGCUCGGGACGAUAAUGACGGUACCGAGAUAAGAAGCCCCGGCUAACUUCGUGCCAGCAGCCGCGGUAAUACGAAGGGGGCUAGCGUUGUUCGGAAUUACUGGGCGUAAAGCGCGUGUAGGCGGGUCUUUAAGUCAGGGGUGAAAUGCCAAGGCUCAACCUUGGAACUGCCUUUGAUACUGGAGAUCUUGAGUCCGGGAGAGGUGAGUGGAAUUGCGAGUGUAGAGGUGAAAUUCGUAGAUAUUCGCAAGAACACCAGUGGCGAAGGCGGCUCACUGGCCCGGAACUGACGCUGAGACGCGAAAGCGUGGGGAGCAAACAGGAUUAGAUACCCUGGUAGUCCACGCUGUAAACGAUGGAUGCUAGCCGUUGGGGAGCUUGCUCUUCAGUGGCGCAGCUAACGCUUUAAGCAUCCCGCCUGGGGAGUACGGUCGCAAGA
rnacentral:rRNA from 1 species